rnacentral:rRNA from 1 species
UACGAGGGGGGCAAGCGUUGUUCGGAAUUAUUGGGCGUAAAGGGCGCGUAGGCGGUGCGGUAAGUCACCUGUGAAAACUCUGGGCUCAACUCAGAGCCUGCAGGCGAAACUGCCGUGCUUGAGUGUGGGAGAGGUGCGUGGAAUUCCCGGUGUAGCGGUGUAAUGCGUAGAUAUCGGGAGGAACACCUGUGGCGAAAGCGGCGCACUGGACCACAACUGACGCUGAGGCGCGAAAGCUAGGGGAGCAAACAGG